rnacentral:rRNA from 1 species
AGAACGAACGCUGGCGGCGUGGAUAAGACAUGCAAGUCGAACGCGACUUAUAGCGAUAGCAAUAUCAUUGUAAGUUGAGUGGCGAAAGGGUGCGUAACACGUGGGAAAUUACCAAGAAGUGGGGGAUAGCUCGGCGAAAGCCGAAUUAAUACCGCAUGUGAUCGAAAGAUCAAAGCCGGGGACCGCAAGGCCUGGCGCUUUUUGAGAUGCCCGCGGCCCAUCAGCUAGUUGGCGAGGUAAAAGCUCACCAAGGCUAUGACGGGUAGCUGGUCUGAGAGGACGACCAGCCACACUGGAACUGAGACACGGUCCAGACACCUACGGGUGGCAGCAGUCGAGAAUUUUUUCACAAU